UACGUAGGGGGCUAGCGUUGUCCGGAAUCAUUGGGCGUAAAGCGCGUGUAGGCGGUUCGGUAAGUCCGCUGUGAAAGUCGGGGGCUCAACCCUCGAACGCCGGUGGAUACUGUCGGGCUAGAGUACGGAAGAGGCGAGUGGAAUUCCUGGUGUAGCGGUGAAAUGCGUAGAGAUCCGGAGGAACACCAGUGGCGAAGGCGACACGCUGGGCCAUACCUGACGCUAAAGCGCGACAGCAUGGGGAGCGAACGGG
rnacentral:rRNA from 1 species